rnacentral:lncRNA from 1 species
AGAACUUAACCAUCCAAUAAUGGAGAACUGGAUUAAGCACAUUUGAAAGCACUUAUACAAUGGAAUACUGUGCAGCUUUUGAGUCCAUCUUUUCCCUCUUGUCAAUGACGGUGAAGGUGCUGAUGGUAGAAGUGCUAUGUAAACCCAGCUUUCUCAGAAGAACUGCCAAUGAACCAAGAAGUGUCUGGGUCCAGACACUUGCCCUCAUGGUUAUAUUAGCAGGAGAACCAGUCCCUCUCCAAUCAUGACUCCUUCAUCAUCCCCAGUUCCCUCCACACCACAAGGUCUUAAUAAGGAGGGGAAAAGGGAGUAGGAUGUCUCCAGUGUUUGUGAUAAGAGCCUUUGCCCUUGCUUCCCAUUUUGGUAGAGAAGAUGAUAACUUUCUCUAAAGACAAGUGAUGGAGGCAAGAGUUCUCCAAGAGAAUCACUUGGAGCUAGGACCACAAGCAUGUGCCACUGCACUGGGCUACCAGCAUGGGAAGUUUCAACAAGAAAGAGGGAGAGAAAAAAAAAAAGAGGGAGAGAGCUGGGCAUGGUGCUGCAUGCCUGUAAUCUUGCCUACUCAGAGGCAGAGCCAGGAGAAUCAAGUUGGAAGCCAGCCUGGGUAACAUAGUGAGAUCCUGUUUUAAAAUAAAAAUUUUAAAAAGGAGCUGAGAGUGUAAAUCAAUGGUAGAGUGGUUGCCUGGUACAUGUGAGGCCCUGGAUUCAAUUUCUAGUACUGUCCCCUUCAGAAAGAAGUGAGAGGAGUGAUAUCAUACUAAAAUUCUGCAUCUUACAGAGAAAAGUUAACAUCCCUUACCUCCUCAGUGUCUAGAACCCUACCAGUGAAGCUUCUAUGCUAAGAAAGAGACUGAAAGAUUUAUCCAUGGAGGAAACCAAAGAGCCAAAUGAAAGACUUGGCAUGUACUGACACUGGGAUCCUCUAAUGAAAAAUCUGACCAGCUGCCUUAUUAUCAUGCUCCAAUGAAGCCCAUCAAUCAAUAAAACCCUGCUUAUGCACACAGAACUUUUAAUCAGCUUCUUAAUACCUCAUUCUUAAGGAAUGGAGAAUGUCAUGAAUGGACAACCAAGUUAUAUCCAGGCAUUUAAGGGAUGCUUCUAGGAUAAAAGACAAAGACCAAAAUAAAGAAAUAGAGAAAGGAUCUUGGAGAAAGCAAAACAAAAACAAAAACCAGAGAGCAAAAAGGCAACAAUAUAGUCUAAAACGCCUAGAGAAAAGGUACUGUAUCCAUAAAACAAAGUAAGAUAGUAUGAUCA